AUGGCAAUAUCGUUCUUGCCAGAGCUGCCCGUCUACACAUUACUUGUGCUCCUUGCUCUUCCACUGUACUACUUGUACUUCGGGGCUAGUUCUAGAUGGAAGAACCCAGUAGCGCUCCCCAGAAACUGGCCAAUACUGCAUAUGUUCCCUUCCUUUGUGGCCAACAUCCACAACUUGCAUGACUAUUACACCCGGAUCCUUGCCCGAUCAGGCCACAACUUCAGGGCGCACGGCCCACCCGGCUCGGGGAUUCGGUUAUUCGUCACAUGCGACCCUGCCAAUGUCCGACACAUCUUCACGACCAACUACACCAACUUCCCCAAGGGCGCGGAGUUUGCCGCUAUAUUCGAUAUCAUGGGUGGCACCCUGUUCACCAUCGAUGGUGAGCCUUGCCGUCGGCAGCGCGCGAAAGUCAAGGCCGUGCUCAGCAGCCCGCCGAUAGUUGCCAGGUUUGCAGCUUGCUGCCGUGACAAGUUGGAGACCAGCCUUCUCCCAAUAUUUAGCCACAUGGCGAGCACCGGCACUCCGUUCAACAUGCAAGAAAUGAUGUCAAGGUGUAUGUUUGACCUAGCUGCUACACCUCUAUUCGGCGUGGAUCCUGGCCUCCUAUCAUUGGACAUGCCGUCCAUGGAUGCCGCACUCGCCAUGGAUACAGUCAUGGAGGUGGGCCAUUACCGGCACGUGAUGCCGACAUAUUGCUGGAAGUUGAUGAGAUGGCUAAACAUUGGGACUGAGAGAAAGCUCGGCAUUGCGCACAUGGUGCUACAGGGGUUCAUUUUGGAUAUGAUGGAGAGGAGGACGACCGACAGAUGUAAUGCUUGUAGUGACGAGGAACAAGAUGGUGUGGAUAUUGUGUCUUCGUUCGUGAAUGAUCCUGACUAUGCCGAUUUUGGCUUGUUCCGCGCUGCGAUGAUUAGUCUCAUGCUCGGUGCGAGGGACACAAUUUCCACGACCCUGACAUGGACCUUCUACAACCUUGCCCAGAACUCUAAUAUCGUAACAAUCAUUCGCAAUGAACUCUCACCAAUUGCGUCACGCAAAGUGGCGUCUGGUCUGGGUGCCAUGCUGAUCUUUGAGCCGGACGAGACCAAAUCCCUACUCUAUCUAGCUGCCGCCUUGUAUAAGACUCUCAGGCUGUACCCACCGGCGCCUGUUGAGCGCAAGACGGCAGCCGCCAAUGAUUUCAUGCCAAGUGGCCACGAGGUGCAUGCUGGCGACACUAUCUUUAUUUGUCUCCAUUCAAUGGGGAGAAUGGAGACUUUGUGGGGUAAAGACUGCCUCGACUAUAACCCAGCCAGGUGGCUCUCAGAGGAUGGCAACAGUCUGAUCUAUGCACCAUCUCACAAGUUCUUAGCCUUUAAUUCGGGCCCAAGGAUGUGCCUUGGAAAGGACAUCGCCAUGAUGCAGAUGAAGAUCAUCAUCGCCACAGUGGUAUGGAACUUUGAUGUGCAGAUGGUGGAAGGGCAGAGCAUCGAGCCCAAGCGAUCUUGCUUACUGGAGAUGAAAAAUGGGCUCAUAGUUAAGAUCACGAAGCGACAAAUGUAA
rnacentral:rRNA from 1 species